CGGGGUGUAGCUCAUAUGGUAGAGCGCUCGCUUCGCAUGCGAGAGGCACGGGGUUCGCCCCCCACCCCCC
rnacentral:tRNA from 1 species